GGAACAGUUUUCAGCAGAGCAUCAAGAGAAGAGCAACUAGUUACUGAGGAAGGAGAUAGACAAACUGCUGGAGGAAAAUAAUUCAUCUGACAGCAAAGAUGCAGUGGAGUCUGAUUCUGCUCUUCCUGAUGGCUCAGUGUUGCUUCAUUGACUGUCAGCUCUAUCAGUUUCACUACAUUAAUGAGAAUAAAACCUGGACUGAAGCUCAGCA